rnacentral:rRNA from 1 species
CGGUAAUUCCAGCUCCAAUAGCGUAUACUAAAGUUGUUGCAGUUAAAAAGCUCGUAGUUGGAUUUCUGCGGGGACGGAGCGGCCGGUCGCAACCUGCGACUCGAGCUAGCGCUUUCCCCGCAUCCUGCCGCGAACCGUGCUACCAUUAGUUUGGUGGCGCUGGGGAUCGGCUCGAUUACUUUGAGAAAAAUAGAGUGUUCAAAGCAGGCCACACGCCUUGAAUAAGUUAGCAUGGAAUAAUGACUAAGGACUUCGGUUCUAUUUUGUUGGUGUUCGGGACUGAAGUAAUGAUUGAUAGGGACAGUUGGGGCGGUCUGUAUUCCAAAGCGAGAGGUGAAAUUCUUAGACCUUCGGAAGACAAACAGCUGCGAAAGCGUUCCGCAAGGAUGUUCCCUUUGAUCAAGAACGAAAGUUGGGGGAUCGAAGACGAUCAGAUACCGUCGUAGUCUCAACUAUAAACUAUACCAGCUAGGGAUCGGUCAACGUUUAAUUAUUCGACUUGAUCGGCACCUUAUGAGAAAUCAAAGCAUCUGGGUUCCGGGGGGAGUAUGGUCGCAAGGCUGAAACUUAAAGGAAUUGACGGAAGGGCACCACCAGCCGUGGAGCCUGUGGCUUAAUUUGACUCAACACGGGAAAACUUACCAGGUCCAGACAUAGUAAGGAUUGACAGAUUGAUAGCUCUUUCUUGAUUCUGUGGGUGGUGGUGCAUGGCCGUUCUUAGUUGGUGGAGUGAUUUGUCUGGUUAAUUCCGUUAACGAACGAGACCCCAGCCUGCUAAAUAGCGCGGCUGAGCUUUGCUCGGUGCGAGCUUCUUAGAGGGACUAUGAUGCGCGAUAGCACUUGGAAGUUUGGGGCAAUAACAGGUCUGUGAUGCCCUUAGAUGUUCUGGGCCGCACACGGGCUACACUGGCGCCUGCAACGAGCAUAUCAGCUGGCCCGAGAGGGUCUUGGCUAAUCUUUUGAACCGGCGCCGUGCUUGGGAUUGACCUUUGCAAUUGUUGGUCAUGCAACGAGGAAUGCCUUGUAAACGCGAGUCAUCAGCUCGCAUUGAAUACGUCCCUGCUCCUUGUACACACCGCCC